UACGAAGGGGGCUAGCGUUGCUCGGAAUCACUGGGCGUAAAGCGCGUGUAGGCGGCGCGUCAAGUCGGGUGUGAAAGCCCGGGGCUCAACCCCGGGAUGCCGCUCGAAACUGGCGCGCUUGAGGACGGAAGAGGGGAGUGGAAUUCCUGGUGUAGCGGUGAAAUGCGUAGAGAUCAGGAGGAACACCCGUGGCGAAGGCGGCUCCCUGGUCCGUCCCUGACGCUGAGACGCGAAAGCGCGGGGAGCGAACGGG
rnacentral:rRNA from 1 species